CGUUCCGGCUGGAAUGUGGGGAGCUGGAGGAAGGACGAGGAGGGGAGGAAAGCCCUGGGAGAGGAGGAACGCUGUGAAUCACGGCAGGCUGAUGAGCACCUUGCCAGGGUGUUCCCGGGCAGGUAGGGGAUCAAGGCCGGGCCAUUCACAUGCAGAACAGCUUCCUCUCCAUGUGCAACAGCCCCGAAUCGCUGGAGUUCAGGAAGUCACCGAAUCAUGAACGGUUUGGGUGGGAGGGGACAUUUUAAGGUCACCUCGUUCCACCCCCUGCCACGGGCAGGGACACCUUCCACUAUCCCAGGUUGCUCCAACCUGGCCUUGGACACUUCCAGGGAUGGGGCAGCCCCAGCUUCUCUGGGAAUUCCAUCCCAGCUCCUCCCCAUUCUCACAGGGAAUCCACCUAAAUCUUUCCUCUUUUAGUUCAAAUCCCUUCCCCCCUUGUCCUGUCACUCCCUGCCCGGGUGAAUCUCACAAACCCCCUCCGAGCCCCGGCAUCACACACAGAUCAGCCCACGCUGAUGCCAACACCCAAAACCCGCUUCUCUGGGCAGCACUUGGAGCGCGGGGAAAACUCGGAGCGCCCCAAAUCCCUCCGGAACGUGCCGAGGGCUCGGAGCCCGCCCCGCUCGGGGUGUCGCAGAGCAGGGACAGGUUAACAACGCCCGGGAGCGGCUCCGGGAGCUCCGCUGGCACCCUGCGAUUACCGCCCGACCUUGGGGCUCGGCACAAGGACGGCCGGGGCCAGGAACCCCAUCGCCCGGGAGGGGGUGAGGAAAGAGCCCGAGGAGCAGCAGAGCCGAGCCGGGGCUGGGGCCAUGAUGCACAAAGGAGCUGGAUGAGUCUAUUGUUCGGUGUCCGAGCAACCCCCCGGGCUCCGCUCGGCUCUGCCCGGCGCAGGUCCGGGCUCUCCGGCUUUGUUUACUCGGUAAAACGAGCGGCUGGCUCCGAGCUGCGCCCGCUCACGGCCCCCUCGCCUUGAGCAAUCGGCAAACACCGCCCGGCUCUUCCAGGGGGGCAGGAGCCGGCUCGGAAGGAGGGCAGGACACGUCGUGUCUCCUCCGGGAUUUCUCGCCCUCCACAGCUCGAGUUCGCGGCGAGUUCAGGAGUCCUCCGCGCCGCGGUAAAGGCUCGGCUGUUUGGGACACUCUAAUCCCAAGUAUUGUUGGAAACACCUUAAACUGGGGCCUGAAGGGAAACCUGAACCUGGGAUCUCGUCACCUUGGCUCGUGGGAUGAGAUGGAAAACCAGCUGAGGAUGUUGGAAAGGGACAAAGCCAACACUCUGCUCCCCCUGACAACAAAAACGUUACUUUUAAUCCCAAUCCUGGCGAAUAAAUGCCUGAGACACCCCGGC